UACGGAGGGCGCAAGCGUUACUCGGAAUUAUUGGGCGUAAAGGGCGCGUAGGCGAUUCGAUAAGUCUCAUGUGAAAUCCCAGGGCCUAACCCUGGAAUGGCAUGGGAUACUGUUGGAUUUGAGUUCCGGAGAGGAAGGCAGAAUUCCCGGUGUAGCGGUGAAAUGCGUAGAUAUCUGGAGGAACACCGGUGGCGAAGGCGGCAUCCUGGACCGACACUGACACUGAGGAGCGAAAGCCAGGGGAGCAAACGGG
rnacentral:rRNA from 1 species